CUUUGGUCGUCCAGCCUUAGGUGACUUUUCUGAUCAUAAAGCUAGACAACCAUUGAA
rnacentral:pre_miRNA from 1 species